GAAGAAGGCCUUCGGGUUGUAAAGCACUUUCAGUCGUGAGGAAGGCGGUGUAGUUAAUAGCUGCAUCGUUUGACGUUAGCGACAGAAGAAGCACCGGCUAACUCCGUGCCAGCAGCCGCGGUAAUACGGAGGGUGCGAGCGUUAAUCGGAAUUACUGGGCGUAAAGCGCAUGCAGGUGGUUUGUUAAGUCAGAUGUGAAAGCCCGGGGCUCAACCUCGGAAUUG
rnacentral:rRNA from 1 species